AAGCACGCUCUACUACUUCGAAUACGAGAAUAUAAGAAAAAGAGAUUCAUUACGGAUUGGACUACUAAAGAACUGGAAGACCCAUCAGUGAAUAAGCCCGUUGAAGAAUGAAGCCUUACAGACGUAUAGAAGGAAGAGGUACGAGCAGACGAACUAUAGAAGGUACGAAUGGAAGACUUGUAACGAGCCGGAGAGGUAGAAUGAGGGGAGGGGGUUAGGGAAU
rnacentral:lncRNA from 1 species